rnacentral:misc_RNA from 1 species
AUCAUCUUGAUGCUUUGAUAAUCACUACAAACAGGGAUCAUAUGAUGAUAGAAGGCCAAGGGUAAAGUUAGCUCAUGGUGACCCUAUCAACAAACCUUUUUUGCACGUAGGCAAUGUAAAUACGAGGAAGACUCAGAGGAGGAAGAUGACUAUAAACCAAACAGGUUCUACAGACAUCCACGCAGAAAGAAUAGAGGAUGUGCAUAUCAACCAAUUCUUUUACGCCAACAAUAUGUUUAUGACAAAGAUUCAGAGGAGGAUGAAUUGGAAUGAAUCAAGUACCAUAGGCAUCAACGGAAUAGUGACUAUCAGAAAAGAG